UACGAAGGGGGGCUAGCGUUGCUCGGAUUGACUGGGCGUAAAGGGCGCGUAGGCGGUUCGUACAGUCAGACGUGAAAUUCCUGGGCUCAACCUGGGGGCUGCGUUUGAUACGUGCGGACUUGAGUGCGGAAGAGGGUCGUGGAAUUCCCAGUGUAGAGGUGAAAAUUCGUAGAUAUUGGGAAGAACACCGGUGGCGAAGGCGGCGACCUGGUCCGAUACUGACGCUGAGGCGCGAAAGCGUGGGGAGCAAACAGG
rnacentral:rRNA from 1 species